AAGAAAUCAAAGGAGACACACACAGGUGUGUUGGGAAGAAUGAAAACCAGUCAUGGAAACGCUCAUACGUGAGGAAAGUGGAUUUUGUGUCUCCUUGGACCCGCCUGGAGGAAGCUGUCACCAGUCUACGUGUGUGGAUUUCAUUCAACACCAAAGCUAAGUGCUAAUGCUAACUACUAUAUCUUCAGACUAGUUGUUAAGAGAUGGCUGGUUGUUCUCAGCUUUAGCCUCACCUACCCUGCUAGAUGUAUACAUGCACCGUAGCAUUACUUACAUCACAUAUUUUCAACAAAUAUUUCCUACAAAGUUUAAAAUACCUUGUGUUCAAAGAAACACCCUAAUAUUAACAUUUGUGGCGACAUUAAAGCUCUAAAACCGGACUUGUGCUGCAUUCAAGAUGCUGGAAAUUCAGAAAUUUUGAACUGAACGUAAACAAAAAAAAUGGCUGACAAUCUCAGGUUUAGGGUCCACUCCAUGGAAGGAAAGGGAACUUUUUAAAAGAGAAAAAAAAAACACAUAAUCAUCGAUCAAACAUGGCACACUCACAUAUACAUAGUAAAGACAUGUAGAAAGACAAGUCAGUUAAUGAAUGCAAUCACUGAUUAAUUCUAUUCAUUCAUUCAUCUACCGCUUAUCCUCACGAGGGUCGCUGGGGGUGCUGGAGCCUAUCCCAGCUGUCUUGGGGCCAGAGGCAGGGUACACCCUGGACUGGUGGCCAGCCAAUCACAGGGUACGGAAACCAGAGUACCCGGAGAAAACCCACGCAUGCAUGGGGAGAACAUGCAAACUCUACACAGAGAUGAUAUGGGCCGAUAAUGGGAUUGAACUCCGGUCUCCUAGCUGUGAGUUAUGCAAGAUAUGACUAAAAAGAAAAGUGAGCUGUUCCAACCCAGCGAUCCAUUACAGUUACACAAUCACAAGUCCGAACAUCUAUUUGAGAACCACGGUGUUGGCUUCAUCCACGCAUCAUGUUAAUGUCACCACUUAGGAGGUCGCCGGCGCCGUCAUGCAGGAGCACUCCGGGUUGCAAUUUCCACCGGAGGAGAUAAAGAGUGACCUCCAGUCCGCCGUCAAUCGCAAGAGCGCUUAUAGCGGCUUAAUCCUAGAUGAUCUGUGCUUUCAAAAGGGAGGCGGAUGCAGAUGUGGAUCUGGAAGGAGUGUGACACUGAGUGAACACAUGAUAACAGGGAUGCAUGAAUGGAUCCUCACACUGUCAAUGAAUGUAACUUUCCUGUACUGCUUCACUUUCAUUCAUUCUUUCAUUCCAACAUAAGGUCAUUGUCUUUUGUUUAAUCCUUUGUGUCUGACCUUUGACAUGCUGUUGAGUAAAUCACACAGGAAGUACUUUCAACACUUAAAAUAAGUGCACUGCUCCAUCUGUCUUGUUUUAAAAUAAGUAUACCCAAAUCUGACAGCGUUAAGCUGCAUGUUUAUUCGGAACUUUGAUGAAGCUAAAUAAGGUGACUGAAAUAUAAGGAACAGCUCUCUCUAUGAAGGGGUGCAAUUACAAAGGCACUGCAGACUACAACUACGUAUAAUGUGAACCAUGUUGUUAAAUUAAUACCUGGGCGGUACUGAAGUACCUAAAAGUGCAAGAAAACUACAAAAAGUACUUCCACAAAACGUUGUGCAGGCGUGACACAAAAAUCCACUAAAUUUAGUUGGCAAAAGUGUGGAGCAAAGAGGGAGAGGUCUUAUAAAAAUGAUCAAGAGUGUACCAUUCUGACAACAUGGGUUGUGGCCAUAGCUGCUGCUGAGCAUACUUUUUUUUUUUUAAGCAAAGAUUAGCUUUGUUUAUGAUUCCGCACAGCGGCACAAUGCAAAGGAGCUGAGGUGAGCGCUGGCUUUGAACCAUCAACAUCAACGGACUUAAUGACUACUGAAACAUCAUUCAAAGUGUGGAAGUAUUUUGUAAAGAUUAAAGAUGACUCACAUCAGAUGACUCACAUCAGAUGACUUACAUUUUAUACCCCCAUUGGCUGGACAAAAUGUAACGAAUCAGAUAUGAAAAUCCUAAGUCAAAGUCAACCUUAGGUGUGAUAUUCUAGUUUUUGUACUUAUAUUAUUGUUAUAUUGUUAAAUAUUAUAUUAUUAUAUUGUAUUUGUAUUAUACUUUUUGAAGCAGCUCUUGUUUUAUACUGUAUAUCCUCAGAGUGUGCCAGUGUACCUAGUAAAAUGUCUCUAUAUAGGAGUAUAUAUUAGUUGCAGCAAUCUUCUGUGUAUAUUGAUUUUGUAGCCAUGCAUGUUCGGGAUUACAAGCUGGAUUAAUCUACAUAUGUAGCAGUCAAAGUCUGGUGUUAAGAUGCAUGCAUGUCAUGUGUGUCCUGUCCUAUAGUCAACCUGCAUAAUUCUUUUUUCAAUCAGUCACAAAAGCCUUGCCCAGCCGAUGCCAGGCGAACCAAUGCAAAGCAAGCCAAUGCUAUAAGAACCAAGUUUAUUUAUAUAGCCCUUAAUCACAAGAGUCUUAAAGUGAGGGAAUAUCGGUACCUCAAUCUAUUGUGUUUUUUUUCCCAAAAAGCUUUCAUUUAAUACCCAAUCACACUGGAGGUAGAAUGGGCCAGAAUACCAUUAGAUAAUUCAAGCUGUACGCACUCAAAAACAUAUUUAGACAGUCACAAACAGGUUUUCUAUGCAAAAAUAUUCCAUUUAAAUGUUAAAUCCUACUUCACAGUCAGGUCUGGAACCGAUUAACCACAAUAAACAAAGGAUGACUGUACUAGACAAGCUUAUACUAUAAUCCAUCAUAUUAUUCUUAUCUGAGGUCGGGUCACGGGGGCAGCAGUCUAAACAGGGAAGCCCAGACUUCCCUCUCCUCGGCUACUCCUCGGAUCCUGAGGCGUUCCCAGGCCAGUAACUCUAACAUCUCCUGGGUGUUUCCCAAGGCUUCCUACUGUCGGAUGUGCCCUGAACAGAGGCAUCCGGGCGGCUUCCUGACCAGAUUCCCGAGCCACUCCAUCUCGCUCCUCUCAAUCUGAGUUUGAUUACAGCGCUUCUCACCUUAUCUCUAAAGGAAUACCCAGGCACCAUACGGCAAAAAUGUCAGCCUAUCCCAUAAGCUCACCACCGUAGGUCAACCCUUUACUAGACAAGCAUGAACCACAACUACCUGUGUCAUAAGAGCUGUUUUGGCCUUUAUUACGGAAGCUCCAGUGUCUGAUAAUGAACCUACACUAGACAAACCUAUGCCAGAAGAGCCUAGAAGAUGUGAAAGAACAUAUGCUAUAGACCAGGGGUCUCAAACUCGCAGCCCGCAAGAUGCUAGUUUGAGGCCCCCACCUUGAUACCAAAGUUUAAUGUUGAAAUGACAUCUUAAAGCUGUGUGCACACCGGACACAAUUAACAUGAUUUUGCCCCGCCCAUACUGUUACCCUACCCUGUUACCCCGCCCUGUUUUGCUUUGGAUUAGCAAUGAAGCUAAAGGCUUAUGACGCUGGGUACAAAUAAAUGCAGGAAAUGAUUUGGAAUAAAACGGAAAAUACACGUCAAGAUAAAGCAUCUCAUCAAACAUGUUGUUAAAGUUACGACGCUGCUCCCAGAUGGAACUGAGUACGAUGCUAACUUGCUAAUUGGGUAAAAUUAUUACGUUUCCUUAAUGUUCAUGUUAAAGUUUAAAUAACUGUUAAUACUGUACAUUUGAAUCUGAAAAAAAUAAUUUAUCUACCAACUGUAUGUGCUUUCUUACGUUUUUCUUAUUUGCUGUUUUAUUAUUAUUUUACUUAUUUAUUACUGAUUGAUUGAUUUAUUGUCUUUAUUCUUAAUUUGUUUAUUUUUUUAUCUUAUUUUGUGUAUAGAAAAAUAAAAAAUAAGAUAUUUGAGAACAGUGGAAUGUUUUAUCAGAUAUUUUAGUGUGGAAAACCGGAACCAAAGUACUUAAAAAGUG